GUGCUCACUUCGGCUGCACAUAUACUAAAAUAGGAACGAUGCAGAGAAGAUUAGCA
rnacentral:sRNA from 1 species